rnacentral:rRNA from 1 species
CUGAAAUCAAGUGUGACGACCCGCUGAACUUAAGCAUAUCAAUAAGCGGAGGAAAAGAAAUCAAAUGAGAUUUCCGUAGUAGCUGCGAGUGAACUGGAAUCAAGCCUAUUGCCAAUUCUUAUGUUUCGUACAAUAAGAGAUGAGGUGUAAAGGAGUUUCGUGUUGAACAGACGCACGGCCUAAAUAUUAUCGAGUGAGUUCUCAGAGAAGGUGAAAAGCCUGUCUGGUUGUGUCUGUCUGUUGAAUCGAAAUUCUUACGAGUCUAGUUGUUUGAGAGUACAACUUAAAGCUGGUGGUAAAUUUCAUCAAAGGCUAAAUAUAUGAGGGGACUAAUAGCGAACAAGUACCAUGAGGGAAAGUUGAAAAGAACUCUGACGAGAGAGUUCAACAGUGCGUGAAACCAUAUUGAGUAAAACAGAUAACUGUGUCGUUAUGCGGUGUGUCUAUCAACAGUAAAUCGAGUGUUGCGAUGCGGCGAGUGUGAGCUGUCCAUUCAGACGAUCGCUCGUUGUUAGUAUAGCUCGAAGUUCUGUGUACUAGUGCACACCCAAUCAUUGAGAAACUAUGCUACUGCGGCAUCGGUGCACAUCAGUCCGUGCCUAGCGCGAAGUUGUGUACUGGGCUCUGCUGGCGGCGUAGUUUAGCUGUGUGACAGUGUGACAGCUGUGGGAUGCGUUUGUUGAAUGUGCCUGCUUUGUCUGCGAAUCGGUUUAUUCCUUUUUGCGGUGAGUAUGGUACAGUAGGCGAGCGUCCCGCCAUCAAUGGUUGACAUUAGUUAUUUGACCC